rnacentral:rRNA from 1 species
AACGAACGCUGGCGGCAGGCUUAACACAUGCAAGUCGAGCGCCCCGCAAGGGGAGCGGCAGACGGGUGAGUAACGCGUGGGAAUCUACCCAUCUCUACGGAAUAACGCAUGGAAACGUGUGCUAAUACCGUAUACGUCCUUCGGGAGAAAGAUUUAUCGGAGAUGGAUGAGCCCGCGUUGGAUUAGCUAGUUGGUGGGGUAAAGGCCUACCAAGGCGACGAUCCAUAGCUGGUCUGAGAGGAUGAUCAGCCACACUGGGACUGAGACACGGCCCAGACUCCUACGGGAGGCAGGAGUGGGGAAUAUUGGAGAAUGGGCGCAAGCAUGAUCCAGCCAUGCCGCGUGAGUGAUGAAGGCCCUAGGGUUGUAAAGCUCUUUCACCGGUGAAGAUAAUGACGGUAACCGGAGAAGAAGCCCCGGCUAACUUCGUGCCAGCAGCCGCGGUAACAC